UAGACAUGAGUCCACUUAACACAUUACAAUCACACGGACAUGAAAGUAAUAAAGGAGAGAGGUUGUGGGAUGCUGCCCGUGCCCCAUUUUGUAUAAAUCAAAAUUAGAUUAGACCUCUAAGAUAACCAUUCACCUUACGUCUUCAAAGGAUAACAUCUAAAAUCUUUACAUUUUUUUUCUUUUCAGAAUCAAUCAAACUUCCAUCAAGUUUUUUUUCUUUAGACAAAGCUCGAGACAAAAUAUAUCUUCAAAGUGGAAUAGCUAAACAACUACACC
rnacentral:lncRNA from 1 species